GGCUCAGUCAAAUGCUUGUGAGUACUCUCUCAUCUCAUCUGACCUGACCUGUGUUUGAUAGUUGGCAAAUCACGCAAAUAGAAUUGAAAUUGACUGCAGACCAAUUGCAAGGCAGAUCUUCAAGAUUUCAAUUGAUUGGGUUUUUACGCCGGGCAAAGCCCAGUCAGAGAAAGAGAGAUAGAGCUUGAGCAGCGACUUGAGAUUCUGCUAUAAAAGCAACGACUUUUGCCAGUCAGUUAUAUAUUCGUAGAGACAACGAUACAGUCUAGACAACAAUAAUGCAAUUCUUACGCAUCUGUGGAUUUGUCGUGGCUCUGAUUGUGGCUAUGGCUAGUGCGGCUCCAGAACCCAAGGGCACGGUGCUGAUUCAAACUCCCAACAGCCAGACCAUCUAUACGGGUUAAUAAUGCAAGAGACGAGCUGAAGCUGAAAAGUUUGAAAAAAAAUUGGAAAUUUUCGACUAAAAUUUGUACAUAGUAAUUUGCAUGCAGGAUUAAACUCGCAAUUCAAUAAUAAU